GCGGUCGUGGCGAAAUUGGUAGACGCGCAGCGUUGAGGUCGCUGUGGAGCGAUCCUUGGAAGUUCAAAUCUUCUCGACCGCACCA
rnacentral:tRNA from 1 species